rnacentral:rRNA from 1 species
CAGUCGAGCGAUGGAUUGAGAGCUUGCUCUCAAGAAGUUAGCGGCGGACGGGUGAGUAACACGUGGGUAACCUGCCCAUAAGACUGGGAUAACUCCGGGAAACCGGGGCUAAUACCGGAUAACAUUUUGAACCGCAUGGUUCGAAAUUGAAAGGCGGCUUCGGCUGUCACUUAUGGAUGGACCCGCGUCGCAUUAGCUAGUUGGUGAGGUAACGGCUCACCAAGGCAACGAUGCGUAGCCGACCUGAGAGGGUGAUCGGCCACACUGGGACUGAGACACGGCCCAGACUCCUACGGGAGGCAGCAGUAGGGAAUCUUCCGCAAUGGACGAAAGUCUGACGGAGCAACGCCGCGUGAGUGAUGAAGGCUUUCGGGUCGUAAAACUCUGUUGUUAGGGAAGAACAAGUGCUAGUUGAAUAAGCUGGCACCUUGACGGUACCUAACCAGAAAGCCACGGCUAACUACGUGCCAGCAGCCGCGGUAAUACGUAGGUGGCAAGCGUUAUCCGGAAUUAUUGGGCGUAAAGCGCGCGCAGGUGGUUUCUUAAGUCUGAUGUGAAAGCCCACGGCUCAACCGUGGAGGGUCAUUGGAAACUGGGAGACUUGAGUGCAGAAGAGGAAAGUGGAAUUCCAUGUGUAGCGGUGAAAUGCGUAGAGAUAUGGAGGAACACCAGUGGCGAAGGCGACUUUCUGGUCUGUAACUGACACUGAGGCG